rnacentral:rRNA from 1 species
UACGUAGGGUGCGAGCGUUGUCCGGAAUUACUGGGCGUAAAGAGCUCGUAGGUGGUUUGUCGCGUUGUUCGUGAAAACUCACAGCUUAACUGUGGGCGUGCGGGCGAUACGGGCAGACUGGAGUACUGCAGGGGAGACUGGAAUUCCUGGUGUAGCGGUGGAAUGCGCAGAUAUCAGGAGGAACACCGGUGGCGAAGGCGGCAUCCUGGACCAUUACUGACGCUGAGGCGCGAAAGCUAGGGGAGCAAACGGG